rfam:Oryza sativa Japonica Group DNA, chromosome 6, cultivar: Nipponbare, complete sequence.
AAAAAAAACAAACCCUGGUUUCCGUGUCCAACGUUUGACCGUCCAUCUUAUUUGAAAAAAUUAUGAAAAAAAUAAAAAAGACAAGUCACGCAUAAAAUAUUAAUCAUGUUUUAUCAUCUAACAAUAAUGAAAAUAUGAAUUAUAAAAAAAUUUCAUAUAAGACGGACCGUUAAAGUUGGACACGAAAACCCAGGGUUUGCCUUUUU